AUGAGCCAGGGAGAAAUAUUGCUGGUAGAAAAACAGGCCUCCCAUGCCAUCCUGACCAAAAAUGUAUUCCCCGAUUUGGUUAAACAGACCCGUAUUAGCCCCUGGCUGCCUCAACUGGUGGAUGCUGUCGGCUGCCCAAUGACCAUCAACACAUAUGAGCUCGGUUUAAUCAGAGGUGAGGCCUUGCUUCUUCUGCAGUUUUCUUCUCUUCUUUUGUGUGGAUUUGCAUCUAGCAAAAUUGAAAUUUCAUGGUGGGUCAGUUUGGAGGCUUCAUAUUUCACAAUUAUUAUUGUGUGGUUCACCCUAGAAUUUGAUUUUAACGCGUGCUUGCGCAUAUUUGGUUAG
rnacentral:rRNA from 1 species